rnacentral:rRNA from 1 species
GACGAACGCUGGCGGCGUGCUUAACACAUGCAAGUCGAACGGAAAGGCCCUGCUUUUGUGGGGUGCUCGAGUGGCGAACGGGUGAGUAACACGUGAGUAACCUGCCCUUAUAUUUCGGAUAACAUCAGGAAACUGGGGCUCAUACCGGAUAGGAGCUUCUGCUGCAUGGUGGGGAUAGGUAAGUUCCGGCGGUUGGGGCUGGUCUGGAGGGUUAUCCGCUAGUUUGUGGGGUAGUGGCUUACCAAGGCUGUGAAGGAUAGCCGGCCUGAGAGGGUGACCGGGCACAAGAGGACUGCGGUAGGGCGCAGACGCGAACGGGAGGCAGUAGUGGGGAGCAUGGCAGAGUGGGCGGAAGCCAGAGGCAGCAGCGCCGCGUGCGUGAUGAUGGGCUUCGGGGUGAGAACCGAUUUCGCCGUAGACGAACAGUGAGUGACGGUAACGAGUAAAGAAGCAACGGCUAACUACGUG